UGGGGUGUAGCCAAGUGGUAAGGCAGCGGAUUUUGAUUCCGCCAUGCGGAGGUUCGAAUCCUCCCACCCCAG
rnacentral:tRNA from 1 species